ACAUUUUACCGGAAGUCAUGCGCGCGCAAGGGAUUAUGGGAAACAGUAAAGUCGCGAAUUCCUUGGAUGUGCAAGAAAAUCUUUUAUGUAUCAGAUUGUACAGUUCCUAGUAAUGAGAAAUGGCGCAGUUGGUGCAGUGCAGAAACUAGUUUACUCAGAAUGUUUGUUCCAACUGACGGAUGAUAUUGUCAGAUAAGAGCACAUUGGCAUGUUGCAGACGUUGACUUUCUGAAUUACAGAAAAUAGCUUCAGUCAGGAUACCAGAAAGCAUCAGGACUUCCAGGGCAUGGCUAUAGCUCCUCCUGAAAGAACAUCAGAAACACUUGAUUAUUUGUGUGAAAUACUUUGAAAUAAAAAACCUCUUUCUGCAUGAUUUAAUUCCUAAA